GCCAGGUACCAGGUGUGCUCCCCCGCCGACCCGGUGAACCAGGCCGAGCGGAGGCCGAGGAGCAGGCUGCCGCUGCCCAGCAGGUUCACGGCCAGUCGAACCAACGAUGGCAGAGAGUGUUACCCAAUCAGGGCCAAGAUAGGACGAGUCUUUCGGGUGGGAUUAUUUGCACGGGAGAUGCUGCAUUGACGACAACUCGGAAAAUACACGACAAACCCGCUAUUUUAUUCCCAAAUACGGGACGAUUCCGUAUUUUUAGGGACGGGUGGCAACCCUAGGAAAACUUUCAACUUACACCCAGUGUCAUGAAGAAAGGAUGCCAGGAAAACCAACCUGAAAAC